GUGAGGAAUAUUGGUCAAUGGGCGAGAGCCUGAACCAGUCAAGUAGCGUGAGGGAUGACUGCCCUAUGGGUUGUAAACCUCUUUUGCAGGGGGGUAAAGUGGUUCACGUGUGGACCAUUGCAAGUACCCUGCGAAUAAGGAUCGGCUAACUCCGUGCCAGCAGCCGCGGUAAUACGGAGGAUCCGAGCGUUAUCCGGAUUUAUUGGGUUUAAAGGGAGCGUAGGCGGGGGUUUAAGUCAGCUGUGAAAUGCCGUGGCCCAACCAUGUAACUGCAGUUGAAACUGGACCUCUUGAGAGUACAUAAGGAAGGCGGAAUUCGUGGUGUAGCGGUGAAAUGCAUAGAUAUCACGAAGAACUCCGAUUGCGAAGGCAGCUUUCCGGGGUACAUCUGACGCUGAAGCUCGAAAGUGCGGGAAUCAAACAGGAUUAGAUACCCGGGUAGUCC
rnacentral:rRNA from 1 species